rnacentral:tRNA from 1 species
GGGGAUGUAACUCAGUGGCAGAGUGCCUGCUUCGCAUGUUGUGCUUGCAUGAAGUCCAGGGUUCAACUCCCUGCUUCUCCA